CCAUCAUUUUGUUUUUGGUUUUUGAAAAUUUAGUCUACUUUUAAAUCUUAGUGGAGAAACAAUUUUUUUUAAUUUUCCAAAAUCUGACUUGAUUUUUUAGAUUACAAAGUAAUAAAAUUGAUGGUGGAAAGAGUUUUUGUUAGAUUUAUUUUCAAAAACUAAAAACCAAAUGGUUUUCAAUCAGUGCUCAAUUUAUUUGUGCCUUUUCUUUGGAAGCUAGAUUCUAGGUUUGGAUGAAUUUUCUACGUUCAUAAUUUAAUUUCUUAAGGGGUUAUUUUGGGACUAAUUUCUUGGGGUUAUUUUGAGGCUCUAAGUUGAGUUCUAAAGUAAGAAGUUAAUAUGCUGGAAUUAGGAAAUCCAUAUUUGGGAUCCAACGUUGUUUAGUUGGAGUUGGAGGAAGGGAGAAAGAGAGAGGGAAGAUAAAAGAGGAAGGGAGAAAGAGAGAGGGAAGAUAGUUUUUUUUUUUAUAAACAUGUGAACUUCAAUAGAGAGAGUUGGUGGGCCAAACACUUCUUGUCCUAGAGCUGGAGUUGAUCUUGAUGUAAACAAAUUUUUCUUAAAAAUUGAAGGGAGCAGACUAUGAAUAGUAUAACAUGCCUAAUUAGAAAAAACAGAGACAGAAAACCCAGUAAAAUGUUCUUCUAGUUGAGGACAUAAAAGUCUUUUAAUUUUAGUAUUUAUCUAACAUCAACUGUUUAAGGUUAUUAUAUCAUUGACAGUUUGAAGAUUCUAAAAUUUUCUGAUAUUUUGAAUGACCUUUUUGGAGUGAGUGGGUGGAACUUUAGUGCCGAGUCUCUUGUAUUCAAAAUGAAGUGGAAAAUCUGAAGAGCAGGGUUUUCGCCACUAGGCAACCAGGCAGGCACACUCAUGACCGUUGAACAGCAAAAUUAGGCAUGAAAUAGUGUUUGUGCGGUGACAGCAACCCAGGCUUUCCGCCCCCAAUGUCAUCAUAUGUACGUUACUGGCCAACAUUUAUGGCUGAUAUUUCAAUGCUGAGGAAAAAAAAAAAAAACAGAAGAAGAAGAAGAAAUAUCUACUAUCACUGGGCAUGAUUUUGAAAGCUACUUGGCUACGGCACUAUCAGUCUACUUGGCCAAAUGCUGCAAAAGGUUUGUGUUUCUGUUUCUGUUAUCGGAUAAAAUUUAAGAUCUCUUUUGAUAUUCUUUGUCUCGUUGGUCUUUUGAUUUUAAUUUAUUUUAAAUUUCAUACCAUAAUUUAGGUGUUUCCUCUGUAAAAGAGCUGGUUUCUUUUAAUCUAAAUGACAAAAAUAAAAUGAAUUUUAUUUAUUUAUUUUUGUUUUCAAACAAUCAGACCUUGAUUUGGUAUUUAAAAGCAUGAGUUAAAGGUUUGUAAUAUAUCAAGAAAAAUUUAGGGAUGGAAAAUGGUGAUUGUAGGCUUAUUUUUUUACAACUAAAAGCAAAAAUUUCAACUGCUUAUAAGAUGAGGCAUUUGCUUUUAGUUUUUAAUUUUUAAAAUUUAUGCUUGUUUUUUAAAUUUCAUACUUUUUUUUUUACAUUCGUUUGUGAAAUAGUUAAAUUUUUAGUCUAAUUUAGGACUUCGAAAGCUACUUUUUUUAAAAAAAAAAAAUAAAUUAAAAUGUCUAUUUAAUUUUAUUUAAGUUCCGCUUAGCUUUUUAAAACGUUGAUAGAAAAUGGGUUACAGAACUGGGAAACAUGUGGUAGUAAUGUUUAGCAGUUUAAUCUUUAAAAUUCGGAAGUAAAAGCCCAAACAGUUACUAAACAAGCAGCUUAAAAAAUUGUGCUUGUUUUCACAAAUUUUCGUGUUGUCAUCUUUAUUACAAUUCUUAGCCAAAUUCUAAAAAUGACAUUUAUUUUAAGUGUUCACACAUUGUCACAUUGACAUGACUUUAGUAGGAAGUAGAUAACGAAAGAAACAAACUCAAGUUUUAGUUUAAUUUCCAAAAACUAAAAAGAGGCCUUACAAUUUCAGGAAAGGUUUGAUUUUGAAGCAAUCGUUGUGUUUUGGAAAAUGGGAGGUUGUUUGAGUGGGGAGUUUUAAUUUAAAAUGUCAAAGUGUUAUUUUGUGGUUGUGGUUUUUGUUUUUAAGUGUAGGGUUUGACUUUUGAAUUUUAGGUUACAUAAUUUGAAAUCCGUGAAUCAAAUAAUGCCCGUCUUAUAUAUAAUUUACUAGUUGAUUUGGUAAAGACUUCAAUGCUACGUCCGGGUAAAUCGAGGUCAGGAUUUGGACCUAUAACUAAAUUCUAAUAGUUGUUCAAAUAAAUAAUAUUCAAACUUAGACUUAUUCUUCUAAGUUUGUUUUUUAUUUCGUAACUUUAAAUUUUAAUUUAAUUGGUCUCUAAACUUGUAGUAUGCUUCCAUAGUUCAUCCACAUUUAAGAUGUGUUUAAUACGUCUCUUUUUGGUAAUCAAGUUAAGUUUUAUUUGUUAGUUGUUUAAAAACUUCUCUCUUUUUUUCUUUUUUUUCUUUUUGAAAUUUAGUUUAUAAUUUUUCAAGUAAAGUGAAAAGCUUACCAAAAGAAACACGUAAAUUUUUUUAAACAACAUAAUCAGAAUGGCCAAGUAAAAAUAUGUGUGAUAGAGUUCUUGUUUUUGUUGUUACGUUUUCUCAUCGAUUAUUUAUUUUGAAAUUAUGAAUAGUUAUCUUAACAUAAAUGUGUACCAUCUUUGUUUGUUUGACUAGGAUGUUUGUAUUAUUUUCUUAUGCAAAUUAUCAUUAAGAAUAAUUUGGUGAUUAAUUGUCAACAUGAGCUAACUAGUAUAUGAACCCAAGAUAUUUUGAUCCAAAGCAUUUUUUUUUAAACAUGGUGAUUAAUUACAUAAGUAUGGCGGUUUGGAAAAAUAUUUACAAGAGGCAAGUCAACUAGAAAAAAAAAACUGAAUUUGUGUUAUUUCAGUCUUCCGUAAAAAUUAGAUUGCACUAAAUGUUCCCAAUUUUAAUUUUAUAAAAUAAAUGGCUCUAAAUGUUCUAUUUGUCCUUUUGGACGAAAAUAUCUCCAACUUGCUGGCGCCGCCCUUCUGAAUAAUCGAUUCUACUAAUCUUUUGACAUUUCAGUAUUCAUUUUUCAUGGUUCCAAAGGCCAAAUGUCUGUGUUUGUUUUGUUUUCUUUAUAAAAAAAUAAUCAUCGUGUUUCUUAUUUUUAAUGUCAACCCUAAAUAUUAAAGUUCGCCUGGCUGAGCCAAACUACAAAUAGCUCACUUCGUUCCUUGUUUGUCUCGAGGAUUAUCAUAAUCUUAAGAUUAAGACUAUUAUAUUAUGUUUUUUUAUUUCUUCUAUUUCUCUCCCUCCUUUUACUAUUUCUCACUCCUCCCUUUCACUAUUUCUCAUCCUCGUCUCUUUUAUAAUUUGUACUAUACUAACAAUAGAUUAUAAUAUCUUACUCUAUGUUCCAAAUGCUUCUUGAAGAUCUAUUAUGGUUGACUAGUCAAAAUGUUUUAUGGUUGAUUGGUCAAAAAGUUUAUUUAACAAACUUGUUACCUGACUAUAUUUAUUUAUUUGUUUUUGUUCUUGUUUCUCUUAACGAACUUUUUAUGGGUUAUUUCACUCUACUAUUAUUAAUAAAGUAAUGUUUAUCUACAAUGAAAAUAUCUUUUAAACAUCAUCAAUAAUAAUCUAAAAACUAGGUCAUAUUCGGCUACAUUUGUGGUUGUUUGCCUAUUUUGUAAUUGUGCUGAGUUGUGAUUUGCUCCAAAUUUGUAGCUAAAUUGUGUAGCCUAAUGGAAGAACGGAGGGCGCUCAUUUUAAUUAUAUUCGAAAAUUGUAUGAGAUUCGUUCAUUUUUUUUUUCAAAUUGUAACAGUUUGACAACAUGAGAAUUAUGAAUUUAUUGUUUCUUUUAGUUAUUGUAAGUGACAACAAUGAUAAUGUCAAUUACAGCUAGUCUUACAAAUUAUA